rnacentral:tRNA from 1 species
GACUCCGUGGCCGAGCAGCGAGGCCGGCGGCUGCAACCCGCCUCACGCAGGUGCAAGUCCUGCCGGAGUCUCCA